AUACGGAGGAUCCGAGCGUUAUCCGGAUUUAUUGGGUUUAAAGGGUGCGCAGGCGGCCAUUUAAGUCAGCGGUUAAAUCGUGGGGCUCAACCCCAUUCUGCCGUUGAUACUGGGUGGCUUGAUUGCGGUCGAGGUUGGCGGAAUUCGUUGUGUAGCGGUGAAAUGCAUAGAUAUGACGAAGAACACCGAUUGCGUAGGCAGCAGACCAGACCGCAAAUGACGCUCAUGCACGAAAGUGCGGGGAUCGAACAGGAUUAGAUACCCUGGUAGUCCGCACAGUAAACGAUGAAUACUUGUUUUCGGCGAUAUAAUGUCGGAGGCAAAGCGAAAGCGAUAAGUAUUCCACCUGGGGAGUACGCCGGCAACGGUGAAACUCAAAUGAAUUGACGGGG
rnacentral:rRNA from 1 species